rnacentral:rRNA from 1 species
CUGCUGCCUUCCGUAGGAGUUUGGGCCGUGUCUCAGUCCCAAUGUGGCCGUCCACCCUCUCAGGCCGGCUACUGAUCGUCGCCUUGGUGGGCCGUUACCCCGCCAACAAGCUAAUCAGACGCGGGUCCAUCUUACACCACCGGAGUUUUUCACACAAAUCCAUGCGGCUUCGUGCGCUUAUGCGGUAUUAGCACCUAUUUCUAAGUGUUAUCCCCCAGUGUAAGGCAGGUUACCCACGCGUUACUCACCCGUCCGCCACUAAGAUUUUA